CAGUUUGUUUCGUUAAAAUGUAUUUGCUGGAUAGAAAGCAUUCAGUCAUAGUUCUCGCAGUAACACCAUUUCCCGUAUGGCCAUGGCUCGUAUCAGAUUCAAGACCCUGGUACUGACCUUCCGAGCGGUGAACGGGACUGCACCCGACUACAUCAAGUCUCUCCUCCAGCCUUACACCCCCACCUACGGUCUUCUUCUGACAACCGUUUGGUGGUCCCACUUCUCAAGAGCGCCUGGUCCCAACACAAGCUCUUCUCCUGUCUGGCCCCCCAAUGGUGGAAUCACCUCCCCACCUCCAUCAGAGACACUGACUGUCUCCCCACUUUCAAGAAAAGGCUCAAGACGCACUUGUUCCGGGAGUAUAACGGUACUUAGGAAUGAUUUGCUGGACCUGAUGUUAGUUUCCUCCACAAUGACUCUUAUUGAGGGACUUGUUGCUCUUGUUGGUUAGUUGUAACUGAUUUAACUUCUUGUACUCGCUGUGAAUUAUAUUAUUGUUGCUUGCUUUUUCUACAGGUACACUCUUGCACUUUUUGAGGUUCAUGUUGUUUAAUUGUAACUUGUUUAACUACAUGCUCUUAUGGUUCUUCUCAUUGGCACUUAUUUGCUUUUCACAAUGUAUGCUUCAUGUUUUGGCUACCCGCAAUGUUUUGGGGCUAUCUCGUUGUUAUGAUCAGUGACCUAUGCACUUUUGUAAAUCUCUCUCUUGGAAGUUGCUUGGGAUAAAAGCGUCUGCUAAAUGAAUUAAUGUAAAUGUAAUUUCCUGAAGGCAACAUGACUGAGAAGAGUCUUCUGCCUUCUUUGUUAGGCUGUCACUCAUAAUUCCACACCCCUCUGAGUUGAAGCUACGCCCCCUACGCAAAAUCGGGGCCAAAAGUCUGAAAUUGAAAAAAAAAAAAACUGAUCUGAAA